rnacentral:rRNA from 1 species
GACGAACGCUGGCGGCGUGCCUAAUACAUGCAAGUUGAGCGCUGAAGGUUGGUACUUGUACCAACUGGAUGAGCAGCGCACGGGUGAGUAACGCGUGGGGAAUCUGCCUUUGAGCGGGGGACAACAUUUGGAAACGAAUGCUAAUACCGCAUAAAAACUUUAAACACAAGUUUUAAGUUUGAAAGAUGCAAUUGCAUCACUCAAAGAUGAUCCCGCGUUGUAUUAGCUAGUUGGUGAGGUAAAGGCCCACCCAGGCGAGGAUACAUAGCCGACCUGAGAAGGUGAUCGGCCACAUUGGGACUGAGACACGGCCCAAACUCCUACGGGAGGCAGCAGUAGGGAGUCUUCGGCAAUGGACGAAAGUCUGACCGAGCAACGCCGCGUGAGUGAAGAAGGGUUUCGGAUCGUAAAACUCUGUUGGUAGAGAAGAACGUUGGUGAGAGUGGAAAGCUCAUCAAGUGACGGUAACUACCCAGAAAGGGACGGCUAACUACGUG